CCCUUAGAUGUCCUGGGCUGCACGCGCGCUACACUGAUGUGUCCAGUAAGCACCUAACCUAUUCCGAGAGGAGCGGGUAACCUUAGCAAAGCACAUCGUGAUGGGGAUAGAUUAUUGCAAUUAUUAGUCUUGAACGAGGAAUUCCUAGUAAGCACAAGUCAUCAGCUUGUGUUGAUUACGUCCCUGCCCUUUGUACACACCGCCCGUCGCUCCUACCGAUUGAAUGUUCCGGUGAGCUCUUCGGACUGCACGGUCUGCAGUUUCUGCGUUCCGUGCGGAAAGUUGUGCAAACCUUAACAUUUAGAGGAAGGAGAAGUCGUAACA
rnacentral:rRNA from 1 species